rnacentral:rRNA from 1 species
CCUACGGGUGGCAGCAGUGAGGAAUAUUGGUCAAUGGACGCAAGCCUGAACCAGCCAUGCCGCGUGCAGGAAGACGGCUCUAUGAGUUGUAAACUGCUUCUGUACGAGGGUAAACGCAGAUACGCGUAUCUGUCUGAAAGUAUCUUACGAAUAAGGAUCGGCUAACUCCGUGCCAGCAGCCGCGGUAAUACGGAGGAUUCAAGCGUUAUCCGGAUUUAUUUGGUUUAAGGGGUGCGUAGGCGGUCGGAUAAGUUAGAGGUGAAAUCCCGAGGCUUAACUUCGGAAUUGCCUCUGAUACUGUUCGGCUAGAGAGUAGUAGCGGUAGGCAGAAUGUAUGGUGUAGCGGUGAAAUGCUUAGAGAUCAUACAGAACACCGAUGGCGAAGGCAGCUCACCAAGCUAAUUCUGACGUUGAGGCACGAAAGCGUGGGGAGCAAACAGGAUUAGAUACCCCAGUAGUC